UACAGAGGGGGCAAGCGUUGUUCGGAAUUACUGGGCGUAAAGGGCGCGUAGGCGGCCUGCUAAGUCGAACGUGAAAUCCCCGGGCUCAACCCGGGAACUGCGUCCGAUACUGGUUGGCUUGAAUCCGGGAGAGGGAUGCGGAAUUCCAGGUGUAGCGGUGAAAUGCGUAGAUAUCUGGAGGAACACCGGUGGCGAAGGCGGCAUCCUGGACCGGUAUUGACGCUGAGGCGCGAAAGCCAGGGGAGCAAACAGG
rnacentral:rRNA from 1 species